UCUGAGGCUUCUUUCUAUCAACAGGGACAUGUUGUCACCUGAUUUAAAAGGCUCUCCACUGCUGCCCAACUCCUUAAUAUCUUGUGACCUGAUGGAAGUUUUCCGAUAAUUGCUUGGUGCAUGUGGGAUGGAAGACUCUACACGUGUUUGAUGGUGGAUUACGACGGGUUUUAAGAGGCUGGACACCACCAUUGUCGGAGAAAAAAAAAAAAACUCAACAUAUGAACAUGUACUAGUUUAUAAACAUUGGCUAUCUUGAAUGCAUGGCAGUUGCAGCAACAGCUCAUAAAAGUUGCUGGAAUCAUGCCCCUACUUUUUUGCAAUUUUAUCAUGGCGAAUCCAAGUUUCCUCAUAAUUUCUUUGAUACCCUUUUCUGCCUUUGUCCUUGAUACACCUUUGAUAAAUUUUGAUUUCCUCCUUGACUUUUAAGAUCACUGGGAAUGGCGCUCCUUGAUGUCAAGUACUUUACAGAAGCUUCAGUUGCUGCCUUGCGAAUAUUUGAUAGGAUUGACCAGAUUCCUGAAAUCGAUGGUGAACACUAAGGUGGGUGAAAGAGGGGCUCUUUUAUCAGGUGGACAAAAGCAGCGGAUUGCCAUUGCUAGAGCUAUCAUUAAGAACCCUGUGAUUUUACAAGGUCAAAGCUAGGAUUGCGGGUUGCGGUUGCCGUUACUUUUUUUGUUGCCGCUAUAUUUUUUGUAUGGCUCAUGAAGUUGCAAGAAGAUAUGAAGAAUUUUUGUUUUAUUUUGGUUAAGUAAAUAUAUAAGGUGUGGAUCAUGUACUUCUUUCAAAUUUGUAUAUGGUUAAUUUUUUAAUAAAACAAUGAUUUGGAAUUGGUUAUAUAUAUAUAUCAGUUG